CUCCCAUAAAAGAAUCAAAUCCAAAAGUUACAAAAGCGAACCAAUUAGCUCAAAGCUAAAAAAAUCUGCUACUAAAUUAAUACAAAAUGACCCGACUCCAAAUGAUUCGAUCCAAAUCCUCUCAAUCCAUCUGAAAAGGCUCAAUUUGACAUUCAAAGCGCCGCUCCUCUUUCCCUUUCUCUGAAGACUUGAAAAUGUUGUCGGAAUCGCCGUCUGCAUUUGUUUCUCCUCUGGGUCAUCUAUGAUCUGGAGGUGUGAAAGAUGAAUGGAGAAGUAACAACUUCAAGGUGGUCGGAGAAAGUCCAUCUCCUCGUGAAUUCGAUGAUGGUAGCAGUUACGAGCCUUCAAAUCUGAAUGUAAGUCUCUCUUUGAUCUGACCCCUUAAACUUCCUUCUCUUCUAGGUCUGAAACCUGUGCUGUGUUCUUCAUUUUGAGCUGAUGAAGAUGUGUGCCUAGUGGUGACACCUCUCUUCCAGAGUUUCUAGAUGGAUUCCAAGAUUCAAGCUCAAAUGUGACUUCACGGGCCUUAUUUUUUGGUGAGGUGAAUUUUUGAUAGCUAGUAUAGGGUAGACUAGCUAAGAUUUGCACAGUUGUAAUACCUUGUAAGAGGCAUACUUUCAUGUGAAUAUAAUUGUUUUGGUAUGUCCUUUUCCUUUGCCUUGCUUCUCUGUAGUAGUGCAUGAUGAUAGCUGUGUUUAAUUUCCUCUUGUGUGGCAUCUGCCAAUGAAAUGUACAUCCUCAUUAUUGAUUAAUAGCUCUAGUUUUAA